rnacentral:lncRNA from 1 species
CCCAAUAGGAAAUAAAAAUAAAUGGGCUUAGCCCAAAUAGGAAAAUUGGAGAAGCCCAUGGAGAGGGCCCAAAGAUCAUAAAGAAAUGAAAAAGGCCCAAUGGUAAGUUAAUGUAAUAUUUUAAAGUUUAUGGGUAGUUUAAUAUUGUGCAUAUUUUUGAUGAAAAAUAUGCAAGUUGCUUAAGGAAUUUUUAAUUAAGUUGCUACCCAUACAAAUGUGUGAUUAAGUAUACUGAGUUUAAAUUGUUGUUAGGAAAGUUUGUCGUGGAGGAGUGUCGAACGAAGUAUGUGACCGACAAAUAGGAAUAAUUAUAUACGCGUACGAAUCAAUAGUGAAGUAAUAUCCCACUAUUAUGAGAUGAGUAAGGAGUGUGAAUUUUAAAAAUUCCAUAUAUAUAUACAUGUACGUAUAUUUUACGUGUAGUACAAAAUUUAUGGAAAGCAUGCGUUGAUAGAAUUUUAAAGAAUUGUGGGUGUAAGUUAUUUUUAGAAAUCAUUUGAAAUAUAUAUAUUAGACGUAAAGUGUUUUAAACCAGGAAACAAGCUUUUCGAAAAUAUUUACAUCAAAGAAAAUUGUGCCUUAUUGUUUAUGUGGUGUGCAUUCAUGAAAUUUAUUACAUAUUCACCAUGCUAUUUUCAUACAAAAUAUCAUGCAAAUAUUUACAAUGAACAUUUUACGAAAAGAGAGUUUUAACGUGAUGUGGGGACCGAUAUUUUGAGAAAGAUUUAAAAUACCCCCUUGAAGAUCAAAUUUGAAUUCUUUUAAAAGGUGAUUUCAUUUUAACCAAAAAAUUCAAGAGUAAUUGGAUACUGCUACUUGUUGUGUUACAAACUGUAUUUUGAAUCGAAUGGCUUAUGAUAAUGUGGACAUGAUUGGCUGGAUUGGUAAAUGUGUUGAAAAUGUAUAAACUGUUGUUUGCCUUGAUAAGCUGGGUUGUAAAAUAAUUGUCAUGUCAUGCUAUUGCAAAUUUUAUUGUAUGGUGGGUUUAGCUUGCUGCAGUGGGCGGGUUUUUGUGGACCAGCCUAUUAGAGGGGCACGGUAAACCCCGUUAUAUCUUACCUCAGUAUGAGAGGCACAAGUGGAUAACUCAUGAGGUUAACACUUUAGAGUUCACUUCAUGCAAAACUACCACGUGAGGGUGAACUCAGCCAACGCCAAAGAACGGCUAUGUUUUCAAAAUAAAAAUAUGAUUUAUGCGAACAUUACUUUUUAACAGCCUUGGCAGAUUCGGUUGGGAUAGCCCUAGGCCAAGGUAUCCCUGACAACCAAGUAUGAGAAUGAUUGUGGCACAAGCCAAGUUUUUAAGAAAGUCAUAAGCCAUGUUGUUUAUUUUUGACAAAAAUGUAAUGGUUUUAUAUGAGUUAAAAUAAGUUUUAAUAUUAUGAAUUAUAUUUCUCUGCAUGGUAAAAAUGGAAUGAAAUGGUUUUUCGCAGCUCCCUUAUUUGUUUAUCUAUGAAAUGAAUCUGUAAUUCCUCGCAUAUGGGGUGAGUUAUGAUUUGUGCAUGAUUUUAAAUAUUAUUUGGUUUCACGGGAGCUUGCUAAAUUUUAUUGAUUUGAUUCAGAAAUGAUUAUUAAUAUAUUUUGAUGCGAAAAAUUUUAUUACCUCGAUUAUUUAUACUUUAUAAGAAAUUCUCGAUUUUUAUAUAAGGCACAAACCCUCGUUUGAAACGAACUGCUUUUAUAAUCUUGCAUUUUUAUAUUCAACUGAUCUGUCUUUUGCUUGUUUCCCAUCUACGCCCUACUCGUUGAGUCAAUGAUUAUCACUGAGUCUAUGAGACUCACACCCCUUUUUAUCCCCUUUUGCAUAUAGGGAUCAGCCUAGCGUGUAGUCAGUGACGCGUUCAGUUCACCAUGAAUAGGUAGAGGCAUCUCCUAGCAAUUUAUUCUGAGUCGCUCCGCUAUUAGAGGUCAAGUCAUAGCAUUUCAUUUAUUAAGUUG